rnacentral:rRNA from 1 species
UCUAAUAAGUCAGUGGUGAAACCUCUUGCUUAACAAGGAAAUUGCCAUUGAAACUGUUAGACUUGAGAAUGGACGAGGUAGGCGGAAUUCGUAGUGUAGCGGUGAAAUGCAUAGAUAUUACGAAGAACUCCAAUAGUGUAGACUGCUUACCAGACCAUAUCUGACACUAAGGCACGAAAGUGUGGGUAUCAAACAGGAUUAGAUACCCUGGUAGUCCACACAGUAAACGAUGAAUACUAACUGUUUGCGAUAUACAGCAAGUGGUCGAGCGAAAGCGUUAAGUAUUCCACCUGGGAAGUAUGCCGGCAACGGUGAAACUCAAAGGAAUUGACGGGGGCCCGCACAAGCGGAGGAACAUGUGGUUUAAUUCGAUAAUACGCGAGGAACCUUACCCGGGCUCGAACGAUAUUUGAAUACAUCCGAAAAGAUGUAGCUAGCAAUAGCAAAUACCGAGGUGCUGCAUGGUUGUCGUCAGCUCGUGCCGUGAGGUGUCGACUUAAGUGUCAUAACGAGCGCAACCCUUACCGAUAGUUACCAUCAGAUAAUGCUGGGGACUCUAUUGGGACUGCCACCGUAAGGUGUGAGGAAGGAGAGGAUGACGUCAAAUCAGCACGGCCCUUAUGUCCGGGGCGACACACGUGUUACAAUGGGAGAAACAAAGGGUCGCUACCUGGCAACAGGAUGCUAAUCUCGAAAAUCUCUCUCAGUUCGGAUUGGAGUCUGCAACUCGACUCCAUGAAGCUGGAUUCGCUAGUAAUCGCACAUCAGCCAUGGUGCGGUGAAUACGUUCCCGGGCCUUGUACACACCGCCCGUCAAGCCAUGGAAGCUGGAAGUACCUGAAGUAUGUAACUGAAAAGAGCGUCCUAAGUAAUC